AGAGACGUAGGGGCUGUGUUGACCAGGCUGGUCUCGAACUCUUGGCCUCAAGCCAUCCUCCCACCUCAGCCUCCCAAAGUGCUGGGAUUACAGGCUUGAGCCACCACAUCCAGCCUACCUAAAAUAUUGAAUGCUGUUAAUAAAUCUCCUGAGGCCAGCAUAAGAAGUUGAUGGGCAAAACUAAUGCAGUAGGAGCUGAAAUUGACCGGGGUGUUCUUAUCCAACAGACAGCAGCAAAACUCUUUGUGUAUCUGCAUUCCUUUCAACAAAUGUGACUUCCUCAAUGGCAUCAUUCAUGAGCGUAACACAGAGCUCAGCAAUAACGUUUCUUCACUAACCCUACCAGGGUUUCAAUUGUGCAAUUUCACCAUUAGCAAAGCUUUUUGCUGAAAUCUGGCUUUUCAAAGGGAGAGUAUCCAGAAACAGAAGAUGCUGAUCUGGGAGACUCUUCCUAAUAGAACUGCUGCUUCAGUUUAACUUGGAAAAGCCCACACCCAGUUCCUAAUGACAAACAUCUGAACACCGGGUCUUCCCACGAGCAAGACCAUGCUAUGCCUCCUGCUCAUUCUGUUCUAUAAGCAACCUACAGAUUGCUCCCUGUGAAGAGGAGCCUGCCAGGGGAGCAGCAUUCCACCAGACCCUGAUUUAGCAAGAUAUUUCCGUAUCAUUCCCCCAACCAGCUGGAAGUCCUCCACUGCUCUUGUGUGAAAAUCUAACUCAUCUCGCUGAA
rnacentral:lncRNA from 1 species